AAUGCAAGUCGAGCGAACAGAUAAGGAGCUUGCUCCUUUGACGUUAGCGGCGGACGGGUGAGUAACACGUGGGUAACCUACCUAUAAGACUGGAAUAACUCCGGGAAACCGGGGCUAAUGCCGGAUAACAUUUAGAACCGCAUGGUUCUAAAGUGAAAGAUGGUUUUGCUAUCACUUAUAGAUGGACCCGCGCCGUAUUAGCUAGUUGGUAAGGUAAUGGCUUACCAAGGCAACGAUACGUAGCCGACCUGAGAGGGUGAUCGGCCACACUGGAACUGAGACACGGUCCAGACUCCUACGGGAGGCAGCAGUAGGGAAUCUUCCGCAAUGGGCGAAAGCCUGACGGAGCAACGCCGCGUGAGUGAUGAAGGGUUUCGGCUCGUAAAACUCUGUUAUUAGGGAAGAACAAACGUGUAAGUAACUGUGCACGUCUUGACGGUACCUAAUCAGAAAGCCACGGCUAACUACGUGCCAGCAGCCGCGGUAAUACGUAGGUGGCAAGCGUUAUCCGGAAUUAUUGGGCGUAAAGCGCGCGUAGGCGGUUUCUUAAGUCUGAUGUGAAAGCCCACGGCUCAACCGUGGAGGGUCAUUGGAAACUGGGAGACUUGAGUGCAGAAGAGGAAAGUGGAAUUCCAUGUGUAGCGGUGAAAUGCGCAGAGAUAUGGAGGAACACCAGUGGCGAAGGCGACUUUCUGGUCUGUAACUGACGCUGAUGUGCGAAAGCGUGGGGAUCAAACAGGAUUAGAUACCCUGGUAGUCCACGCCGUAAACGAUGAGUGUUAAGUGUUAGGG
rnacentral:rRNA from 1 species